UUUUAUUUUAAUUCUAUGGAGUAGCUAUUAGUUCAGCCAAUCCAAGAACAGACGACCAGAAAAUUAUGUAAAAUUUCUGGUGAAACAAUUACAAGAUACAAAGAUUUUGAUGGCUCAGCUCUCCCAUCUCCAUUUUCUUACCAAAACUGGCUUCCACUCUCAAUCAUCAGAAACAGGUGGUGUUCUUGUUUCUCUCAAGCCAACGCAUCCAAAGAACCAAAUUUGCUCUUGCCAAAUGAUGAAUAAUUCAG